rnacentral:rRNA from 1 species
CAAACGACUCUCGGCAACGGAUAUCUCGGCUCACGCAUCGAUGAAGAACGUAGCAAAAUGCGAUACUUGGUGUGAAUUGCAGAAUCCCGUGAACCAUCGAGUUUUUGAACGCAAGUUGCGCCCGAAGCCACUCGGCUGAGGGCACGUCUGCCUGGGCCGUCACGC